CACGAAUAUGUAUCAUACAAGAUUACAAGUCCUCACCCCUCACCGGAACGCCUCUUCCUGCCGCCGCCGCCGCCGCCGCCGCCGCAGCCCUCCACUUCCCCGCCGCCACCGCGUGCUCUGCUCGCUCGCGUCCUCUCCGUCGCCAACACCGCCGCUCGUCCGUCCAAGAUGGUGCUGCAGAACGACAUCGGCCUCCUCUGCCCGCCGGCGGAGCUCGAGAAGCUCAAGCACAAGAAGAAUAGCGCCUCGUGCCGUCCCCCGACUCCUUCUUCAUGGAUGUAAGCGUCAGGGCUGCUUCAACAUGUAACUGCAAAAUGAGUUUAUCAUCUUUCCCCCCGCUUUACCCCUGUCUUCCUAGCAAAUACUCUACAUACACAAAUAGCAACAUAAAUUAUGAUGAGGAAUUAUGAUGGUGGGGUGUACUAUUGACCAGAGGAUUUUUUUUUUGAAAAAAUUGCUAUGCCUUGAUAAAGAAUAUCAGUGCCGUAGCUAAGGCAUGGCUAUGCCCCGGGCCAUCUCUCACAGCUACAGUACCUUUAAUAGCUACAGUAGAAGAUAAAAAGCUACAGCGAAUGAAGGAUAAUACAGCCACGCCCCAGGCCAUGGCCCUGGUAGCCUUGGGCCUGGCUACGCUUAAAGAUUAGGUUUGUUUAUGCAAUUUUGACAUAAGGGAUGCUGGUGUAUGAGAAGGUCUGUAGAUUUAGGAACAUGUGCAUCUUCUGCUCCGGUUGAUGUACACUAGUGGAGUAGUAUACAGUUGUUGUGCUUGCUGAUGAUGUGCUCUUGUCGGUCGCCUGUGCUAAUGCUGCCGUUGUUACUGCUCGACUUGUUGAAACAUUUGAGUUAAAUGGACUGAGACAUGUCAGAUGUCACCUCGUAGGUCAAGCUUACUCAAAACUUCUAGCUGAUUAAUCAUUUUAAUUUUGAAGAUCAUUCCUCGUCAAAUGUUGGAUCUGCCUCCUUUGAUAGUCUGUUGUUUGUCUGUCCCUGAUUCAUAUUGAUGCUUAUGUAUCAACCAAGUUCAGUUAACUUAUUCAUUCGCAAAAAAAAAAGUUCAGUUAAAUUAUUAUGACUGAUGUUUCCAACUUUCUAUUGUCUUGAUCACAAACGACCGUGUUCAGCCACUCUCAGACCGUGGUGGUGUGCCCAGCCUGGCAGAUGGUGCUCUGCCAGCCUACAGGAGGAAAGGCGAGGCUCACCGAGGGAUGCUCCUUCCGCCGCAAAGGCAACAAAAGGCUUGUUUGGUUCUCAUAGCAACUUUUGCCUGCAUUGCAUGCUUGACCUAGUUGGGCCAUACCCUCUAGCUUGCUUGGGGCGUAACAAAAGGUGGCCUGUUUGGUUGCCCGCUUGUUUAGACGGAAACACAAGGCAUGGGGCGUGUUUGGUAGCCCGCAUAGAGGCCAACCAGGCCCGACGCGGGAAGAAAAUGGUUGUUUGAUUCUCUGUGUUCACUGUUGGGCCUGCAUCGCACGGAACUUAUAGCAGCUCCCAGCCAGGCCCGCUAGGAAAGUCCAAAUCGGCAGUUUUCCCAGAGAAAGGCCCACGGGAUGCACGUAAGCGGCGCCGGCUGCACGCGAGGAGCCACACUUGAGAAGUCAUGUUGUUUCCUGAAGCGUCGACAAUAAUUACCCCCACCUUCCUUUACCGCUCUCUCUCUCCCUCUCUCCACUCUUCCACUCUCACACCGGCAUCGAUCAGAGGAUUGGAGAUCGGCAGUGCGACCAUCGGCCAGACUUCACCGAUGUCAGCAACAUCACCGUCAUCUCUUCGGCAAUUGCGGUAAGCUGUAUUUUCUCCUCCUAACCUACUAUUUCACAUUCGAUCCGCGUUUAGAUUUGAUCCGUGUUCUAGGGGAAUAUGGAAUCGGGGUAAAUAGCCAUAGGAUUGACCAUAACUUAACGAUGAGUACUAAGUAGCCAUGGAUUUUAGGGUUCCGAUCCGGAUUGAGUACAAGGGGAAUGGGGAUUGGGGGUUAAUCUUAUACAGUAGUUUCAAAUCUUAGCCCCGGCGACCCUGGAGGCGGUUGGAGCGGCGGGGGCCCUUGGCCUUGUUCUUGUCCUCCGGCUGGACCACCGUUUCGUCAUCCUCGCCAGAGUCCAGAUCGAUUGACAAAGUAUGGUGGCCUCCAGAGUUGCCGGGCUACUGUGUAAGAUUAACCCCCAAUCCACAUUCUCCUUGUACUCAAUCCAGAUCGGAACCCUAAAAUCCAUGGCUACUUAGUACACAUCAUCAACUUAUGGUCAAUCCUAUGUCUAUUUACCUCGAUUCCCCAUUCCCCUAGGACGCGGAUCGAAUGCGAAAUAGUAGGUUAGGAGGUGAAAAUACAGCUUACCGCAAUUGCCGAAGUGCUGCAAGUGAUGUUGCUUAUGCCAGUGAAGUUCGGCCGGUGGUUGCCUUGCUGAUCUCCGAUUCGCUUACCACCGCGCUGGUUUGAGAGUGGAAGAGUGGAUAGAGAGCGGUGAUGAAAGGUGAGGGUAAUUAUUGCCGGCGCUUCAGCAAACAAACGACUUCUUGAACGUGGCUCCUUGUGUGCAGCCGCCGCCGCCCACGUGUAUCCCGCGGGCUUGUCUAUGAAAAAAUUGCCGAUUUGGAUGUUCCUAGCUGUCUUGGCUAGGAGCUGUGUUAAGUUUUGUGCGAUGCAGGCCCAACAGUGAACACAAGCAAGCAAACAACCAAUUUUCUUUCCACGCAGGCCUGGUUGGCCUCUAUGCGGGCUACCAAACACACCUGACCUUGGGGGAAAUGAAGCCAUCCAGAUCAUUACUUUCUUAUCGCGGAUGUGUGCUCGUCGGUUUUUGUUAAUUGUUAUGCUUGCCCGUUUGCCAACCUGAACGUUGUAGCAACUCGUGUUGUUGGUCCUGCACUCUGUGUCGCCUGUUGUUGGUCCCUCUGUUGUUCUGUCCAAUCUAGCUAUCUUCAAUUUUUAGAAUUUAGUUCUCUCGCAGUGUUCAAAAACAUCGAUUGGGCCCUGUUGAUGACCUGCGACUGCAAGAGCAUGAUAGUUCCAAGAGAAGCAUUAUUAAUAUAGUGAUACAAUGGCGACGAAUCCAAGCCGUUGGUUAUCUGAACCCGGAGGUGUCAUUUUUUUUCAGAGUUCCCUUGUUCCGUCCGUCAAUGUUCUUGUUUUCAGAGUGCACCUGCUCCGACGGAAGUUGGCAGCUCCACCGGAGAAGAAGACGCCCGCAACAGCCAGUGACCGCGUCACCACCGCCGUCUCCUUCCUCACCCACGAGGCUCGUUCUCCCUCCCUCAACCGCACUGAAACCAUAGCUAGUUCCACCUAUCUUUGUUUUCUUUUUGUUUUGAUGAAUCGCUUCUUGGCCACUUCGUCUCUGAUCUCAUAACCCACGGUCGUUUCUGUGAAUUUUUUAGUGGAUACUGUUGUAGGAAGUAACACUCUGGUUACCCACCUGAGGCCAGAACUACAGUAGAUCUAGUGGAUUGAUCCAAGCAGGCAAGCAUUUCGACUCAACUAGCUACCUGAUCACACAAUUAACCUGUAUUCUGUUUUGAUUAGUGAGCAAAUUUGAGUCCCCUGAAAUGGAAUAAAGAAGAACAAAUUUGACCAGAGGAAAGUUGCAUUUCGAAACCUCUGAACAACAUUUCAAUGCAUAAAAAAGUUGUAUCUGUCAGAGGGCUACAGCUGCACACACUUGUCGGUUUUAUUUAGAGUAUGCUGCUAGCCGAAAGGUGGCACUAUACAUCUUUCUCAUGUUCUGAUGAAUGUACUGAUUUCACACACAAAAUCUUCAAGUUUAACACUUUAACUGGAGGGAACCUCUGUAAGCAAGUUUUUUCGCGUUCUGGGUUCUAAUAGAUUGUUCUGAAUCUGGACAUGACAUGCCCACCGAAAUGUAAUUGGAAUCCCAUCUGGACAACAUCAUGUAUUUAUUUAUCCAUGCUUCUUACUCCUUGGGGCAUAUCAAGUUUCUUCGACAGAUAGGCACACAUAUUUGAUCUGCAAAAUAUCAUGUGCUUAUCCGUGGCUCUAAUUGUUGGUGCUCAUUUUGCGCAGAAUAUCAUGCUCCUUGUAUGGCGAUCUCAUCUACCACUGCGACGGAUAUCGUCACACCAUCGAUGUGUUCAUGGGCGUG